GAUGAAGAACGCAGCGAAAUGCGAUAAGUAAUGUGAAUUGCAGAAUUCAGUGAAUCAUCGAAUCUUUGAACGCACAUUGCGCCCGCCGGCACUCCGGCGGGCAUGCCUGUCCGAGCGUCAUUUCAACCCUCAGGCCCGAACCCCCCCGGGGGGGGCGGGCCUGGUGUUGGGGCUCGGGGUCCGCGAGGCCCCCGUCCCCUAAAUCCAGUGGCGGUCGCGCCGCACCCUCCCCUGCGUAGUAGCACACCUCGCACCGGAGAGCAGCGCGUCCACGCCGUGAAACCCCCAACUUACCAAGGUUGACCUCGGAUCAGGUAGGAAUACCCGCUGAACUUAAGCAUAUCAAUAAGCGGAGGA
rnacentral:misc_RNA from 1 species